rnacentral:rRNA from 1 species
GUGUCAGCCGCCGCGGUAAUACGAAGGGGGCUAGCGUUGCUCGGAAUGACUGGGCGUAAAGGGCGCGUAGGCGGAUUGUACAGUCAGACGUGAAAUUCCUGGGCUCAACCUGGGGGCUGCGUUUGAUACGUAUAGUCUUGAGUGAGGAAGAGGGUUGUGGAAUUCCCAGUGUAGAGGUGAAAUUCGUAGAUAUUGGGAAGAACACCGGUGGCGAAGGCGGCAACCUGGUCCUUUACUGACGCUGAGGCGCGAAAGCGUGGGGAGCAAACAGGAUUAGAUACCCGCGUAGUCC